GGGCUGCAGUAAGGAAUAUUGCGCAAUGGAGGCAACUCUGACGCAGCCAUGCCGCGUGCAGGAAGAAGGCCUUAUGGGUCGUAAACUGCUUUUAUUUAGGAAUAACCCCCUGCUCGUGAGCAGGGCUGAAGGUACUAAAAGAAUAAGCACCGGCUAACUCCGUGCCAGCAGCCGCGGUAAUACGGAGGGUGCAAGCGUUAUCCGGAUUUAUUGGGUUUAAAGGGUGCGCAGGCGGGCUAUUAAGUCAGUGGUGAAAUCCCGGGGCUCAACUCCGGAACUGCCAUUGAUACUGAUAGUCUUGAGUUUGGUUGAAGUGGGCGGAAUGUAGCAUGUAGCGGUGAAAUGCAUAGAUAUGCUACAGAACACCAAUCGCGAAGGCAGCUCACUAAGCCAAAACUGACGCUCAUGCACGAAAGCGUGGGGAGCAAACAGGAUUAGAUACCCCUGUAGUC
rnacentral:rRNA from 1 species